GCCUGUUGAGGCGCCCGAACUAUAAAUACCGGCGAGCGGCCUCGUUCCGCCUUUCUCUCUGCCUAGGAAGGCAGGCAGGGCGUUGGAGGCAUGACAGGAGCUGGCCUGGGACCUGCCGCAAUCCCUGGAGAGCGCCUACCCGGGGCUGCUGACCCAUCGCCCGCUGCUUUUCUUUUUGUAAAGGGGGGGGGGGGAAUGGUUAAUAAAACAGCA